rnacentral:lncRNA from 1 species
AUGCAAGGGCAGAGCAUGUCCCUUUCCAUUCUCUACACUCUCCUUUCCCAUGAACAUUGUCUCUGGACCUUCCCACUGCAGUCUCAGCCUCUCUUCUGGGUUUCUGUGGCUGCAAGGAUGAAAGCAAAUAACUUUGCCUGGCAGAGCUGGAACUGCAUUUCCCUGUAUACCCUAGGCUGCAUGGUGCCUGUCACCCCAGGCCCUUCUGGUGGCUCUUCAGUCCUUCACCCUGCUGCAAGGCCCUCUGGCCUCUCUGGCACCUUCCCCACUACCCCUUCUUGGCAGCUCUGGCCUCUUCCCUUGGUCACCCAGCCUGGCUGUAUGCAGGGAGGGCCCAGCACUGUUGGCAUCAGGAGCUCCUCGCAAACAGCCCUUUGCGCAGGGUUCGGAGCAACAAGUGGAUCCUGCAUGGCUGCAGAGCCCCGGCAAAACGCCAGGCUCCCAGCGCUGGGGUUGCAAGCCUCGCACAUACAUCCCAGAGCAAGCUCCCCUCCCAACACACGCACACUCACAUGCAAAUGGCUGGCUCUGUGGCCCAUUCACCCUUGCCCCCUUCACUCAGCUGCACAAGGGACUGCUCCUGCCUUCCUGCAACUAGAACGAGACCCUCCCACUGCACCUCCCACAGCCACCAAAACCACUUACCCCCAGGGCCAAACUGUGGCCAGACCCCUCCAGCCGAGACCGCUCUUUGCAUGCCCCAGCUCCCACACUCUGGACCCCGGGGCACCAGCAGUAUUUCCCUCUCCGCAAGGUGGCCCAUUGCCAUGUCUGCACCCACUGGCCCUGCCAGGGGGAAAGCUGACCCCAGGUGGCCUGCGAGGGCAGGGAAUAGCACUGCAGAGAGGGCAAGGCAGGAUGGCCAGGUGGGUUAGUAGCAGGCAGGUUCAUGCCAUGCAGCCGCUUUGCUCCCCAUGCAGCCUCUCCAGGACGUUACCUCUUCCAUGGACUGGUGAGACGGCUUUCUCUUUCGCUUUAAACUACCCCAAGUAUUUCCUAAAAGCCCCUGGCAACGCUUCCAAAAGGUUUUACAGCUUGAGGGUUUAG